GAUGAACGCUGGCGGCGUGCCUAAUACAUGCAAGUCGAGCGAAUGGAUUAAGAGCUUGCUCUUAUGAAGUUAGCGGCGGACGGGUGAGUAACACGUGGGUAACCUGCCCAUAAGACUGGGAUAACUCCGGGAAACCGGGGCUAAUACCGGAUAACAUUUUGAACCGCAUGGUUCGAAAUUGAAAGGCGGCUUCGGCUGUCACUUAUGGAUGGACCCGCGUCGCAUUAGCUAGGUGGUGAGGUAACGGCUCACCAAGGCAACGAUGCGUAGCCGACGUGGGAGGGUGAUCGGCCACACUGGGACUGAGCCACGGCCCAGACUCCUACGGGAGGCGGCAGUAGGGAAUCUUCCGCAAUGGACGAAAGUCUGACGGAGCAACGCCGCGUGAGUGAUGAAGGCUUUCGGGUCGUAAAACUCUGUUGUUAGGGAAGAACAAGUGCUAGUUGGAUAAGCUGGCACCUUGACGGUACCUAACCAGAAAGCCACGGCUAACUACGUGCCAGCAGCCGCAGUAA
rnacentral:rRNA from 1 species